AGUUUGAUCCUGGCUCAGGAUGAACGCUGGCGGCGUGCUUAACACAUGCAAGUCGAGCGAAGCACUUUCACAGAUUUCUUCGGAUUGAAGUGGAUUUGACUGAGCGGCGGACGGGUGAGUAACGCGUGGGGAACCUGCCCCAUACCGGGGGAUAACAGUUAGAAAUGACUGCUAAUACCGCAUAAGCGCACACUGAGGCAUCUCAGAGUGUGAAAAACUCCGGUGGUAUGGGAUGGACCCGCGUUGGAUUAGCCAGUUGGCGGGGUAACGGCCCACCAAAGCGACGAUCCAUAGCCGGCCUGAGAGGGCGACCGGCCACAUUGGGACUGAGACACGGCCCAAACUCCUACGGGAGGCAGCAGUGGGGAAUAUUGCACAAUGGGGGAAACCCUGAUGCAGCGACGCCGCGUGAGUGAAGAAGUAUUUCGGUAUGUAAAGCUCUAUCAGCAGGGAAGAAGACGACGGUACCUGACUAAGAAGCCCCGGCUAACUACGUGCC
rnacentral:rRNA from 1 species